GCCUUAGUGGUCCAGGGGUUAGGAUUCUUGCCUUCCAAGCAAGAGGCCCGCGUUCGAGUCGCGGCUGAGGCA
rnacentral:tRNA from 4 species